UGGCUGGACUUGAUAGGCACAGAGUUAUUAGGGUUGGAAAAGGAAGGGGAGGUAAGAUUCUAUGCAAACACCCGCAUGCGUGCGAUUAUAAGCCUGUGCAUCCAUUGGGCCCCAAGAGAAGAAAGAGAAGCCAUGAUUUGGACAAGUGCUUUCAGGCAUUAGAUCUGCAUCACUCCAAGGAUGCAUUUUGCAAUUGUAUGGAUUCAAGAAAACCUCCCCAAAAUAGGUUUGCUCUCCAGCCAGAGACCUUUCUGUGGUGCCCUAUUUCUUCCCCCUGGAGCUGGAGGAAAAGGAGGAAAAGGAGGAAAAGGGGGAAAACAGAGCCCUUUAGGAAGAUCCUGACAUUUACAGGCCCCUGCAGCUCUCAGGAGAGCCCUGGGCCCUGUGCCCAGUGGUGACAGCAACAAGGCACGCAGCUGCAGCCCAGCAAGAAGGCAUUCAGCGCGUCAGCACCAUGCAGGGCUUCCAGAGGGGCUCCCGGCUGCUAGCUGCACUGCUGCAGGCACAGAGGGUCCCCCGGGCUGGGGUCACCUCCAAGCCACCUGAGCACCCUGUCUCUCCUGCUGAGCAAGCCAUCGCGAUGACUGUGAUGUUCACGUGCCUGCUGGGACCUGCAGCCUGGGUCCUGGCCCAUGUGAAGCACUACAGGAGCAGAGCAGACUGAGGAGAAGAACUGAGACCACAGAAUGAGUCUACACCAAGGGAAGAACCCUCUGAGCAUGUUCAUUAAAACUCAUGUUGGCAUGAAA